GCGGGUAUAGAUGAAUCGGUAAAUUCAUUAGUUUUCCAAACUAAAAUUUUACGGGUUCGAAUCCCGUUACCCGCU
rnacentral:tRNA from 1 species